GACGAACGCUGGCGGCGUGCUUAACACAUGCAAGUCGAGCGGUAAGGCCCUUUCGGGGGUACACGAGCGGCGAACGGGUGAGUAACACGUGGGUGACCUGCCCUCAGCUCUGGGAUAAGCCUGGGAAACCGGGUCUAAUACCGGAUAUGACUCCAUGACGCAUGUUGUGGGGUGGAAAGCCUUGUGCGGCUGAGGAUGGGCCCGCGGCCUAUCAGCUUGUUGGUGGGGUGAUGGCCUACCAAGGCGACGACGGGUAGCCGGCCUGAGAGGGCGACCGGCCACACUGGGACUGAGACACGGCCCAGACUCCUACGGGAGGCAGCAGUGGGGAAUCUUGCGCAAUGGGCGAAAGCCUGACGCAGCGACGCCGCGUGAGGGAUGACGGCCUGGUGUAC
rnacentral:rRNA from 1 species